rnacentral:lncRNA from 1 species
GUUCUAUUGUUUUCUGCUAUUGUUGUGUAAGGUAGUAUGCUCAUUGAGCCACAUUAAUAGGUGCUGAAUAAAUGCCAUUUAUGUUUGAAAAAAAUAUCGUGAGUUUGCUGAAUUUAAGCCAAUAUAUAAGAUACUUUAAAAACUCCUACUCUGCAUUGCUGGACAUGGGUAUCGUGAAAUCUGACAUUUGACAAUUUACUCACUUUUGUCAAUACAAUGUUAUAAAUACAGUGAGGUUUAAUAGUAAAAUAGGAUGGACACAGAGGCAGAAUAAGGACUGGUACUGUAACACAUGUACUAUCCACGGAAUUUUUGUUUUGUUUUCUGAAAACAAAUUUGAAUUUGGUUCUACACGCAGUUUGCCAAAAAAAAUC